rnacentral:rRNA from 1 species
GACAGAGGUGCCGAGCGUUAGGCGGAAUCACUGGGCUUAAAGCGUGUGUAGGCGGACCGUUAAGUGUCUUGUGAAAUCCCCCGGCUCAACCGGGGAAUUGCUGGGCAUACUGGCGGUCUUGAGCAGUCUAGGGGCAGAUGGAACAAGUGGUGGAGCGGUGAAAUGCGUUGAGAUCGGAAGGAACGCCCGUGGCGAAAGCGAGGUCCUGGACGCCUACUGACGCUGAGACGCGAAAGCCAGGGGAGCGAACGGG